rnacentral:rRNA from 1 species
CAGCAGCCGCGGUAAUACGAAGGGUGCAAGCGUUACUCGGAAUUACUGGGCGUAAAGCGUGCGUAGGUGGUGGUUUAAGUCCGUUGUGAAAGCCCUGGGCUCAACCUGGGAAUUGCAGUGGAUACUGGAUCACUAGAGUGUGGUAGAGGAUAGUGGAAUUUCCGGUGUAGCAGUGAAAUGCGUAGAGAUCGGAAGGAACAUCUGUGGCGAAGGCGACUAUCUGGGCCAACACUGACACUGAGGCACGAAAGCGUGGGGAGCAAACAGGAUUAGAUACCCGGGUAGUCCCUGUCUCUUAUAC